rnacentral:rRNA from 1 species
ACGUGAGUAUCUACCUCCAGGUCGGGAACAGCCCGCGGAGACGCGGAUUAAUGCCCGAUGGUCCCUUCGGGGUAAAGAGGAAUCGCCCGGAGACGAGCUCGCGGCCCAUCAGCUUGUUGGCGGGGUAACGGCCCACCAAGGCGACGACGGGUAGGUGGUCUGAGAGGAUGGUCACCCACACUGGGACUGAGAUACUGCCCAGACUCCUACGGGAGGCUGCAGUCGAGAAUCAUCCGCAAUGGGCGAAAGCCUGACGGUGCAAUGCCGCGUGGGGGAUGAAGGCCUUCGGGUCGUAAACCCCUGUCAGAGGGGACGAAAAACAUGACGGUACCCUCAGAGGAAGCCACGGCUAACUACGUGCCAGCAGCCGCGGUAAUACGUAGGUGGCGAGCGUUAUUCGGAUUUACUGGGCGUAAAGGGUCCGCAGGGGGUUUGCCGAGUCCGAUGUGAAAGUCCGCAGCUCAACUGCGGAACUGCGUCGGAUACUGGUGAACUUGAGUGCGCGAAGGGCGAGCGGAAUUCCAGGUGUAGCGGUGGAAUGCGUAGAUAUCUGGAAGAACACCGGCGGCGAAAGCGGCUCGCUGGCGCGCCACUGACCCUCAUGGACGAAAGCGUGGGGAGCGAACAGGAUUAGAUACCCUGGUAGUCCACGCUGUAAACG